CGAUUGUGAUUGGUCAAUUUUUAGUUUCUAAUUUUUGAUUUAUAAUUAAUGGCUUAUUAUAGAAGACUCAUUACAGAAUCGGCUCCUUAAUCAGAAACUUAAUGUUUCUGCCAUGCUUUAAACAUUUUUUAAAAUUCUUUUUUUUGUAAGUAACACCUACACAGAGAGACGGAUUCGAUGCACUGUUUCGAAACUGAUUCUCUUUGGUGAUUCUAAGAAAGACGGCCAUCGAAAAUCUUAAAAUCUUUUGUAAGAGAGUUUAAUGAAAAAACUCAUAGUACUUUUAGUUUCAAAUGGAUUCAUAUUUUAAAAAAGACUCAGUUGCGAAGACGAUGAGUUCACAAGUAACAUGUACAAAUUUUUCAUGAGAAAAGGUUGUCGUGCUACGAUGUUGUUGAAAUUUCAUAUGAAGUCUGCAAGGUUCAGAUCAAUCCUUACGAAUUUCAACGUUAUUUGGAUAGCUAUCAAAUUCAUCCUCAGGGUUUUGAAACUUCGGUCUUAGAAAUACAGUUUUUGGCAGCCAAAUAACACGCCAUCGUCUGGCACCCUCCGUUCAGCUUUUUACCCCUUUAUAACACCUUUUUGUUCUCAUACAAAAAUGAAAUUCAAAGGGCAACGUUUGGAGACGGUACAGAAGAUUGAGGCCAAAUGGCAAGCAGUGCUUGAAGGGCUACAGAAAAAAGGGCUACAGAAAAAAAAGACUUCCAGAGAGCGUGUGAAGUAUAACUGAAGCGUUGAGGUUAUUGUAUCAAAUCAUAAGGGGACUACUUCGAAGGGGAUGGAGAUUAAUUGUAAAUAGGGAGUAUUCAAGAAAAAUUUCGCUGGGUCAGAUUUGAUUCUGCAACAUCUGGUCUUCUUAAAAAUCUCCAUAAAAAAAGAAUAAUAUAAUUCAAUAUUUAUAACUAUCAUAGUUAUGACAUAUACACAUUCAUAUCGAUUGCAGAAAUAACAUUAAUAACAAUAAAAAUAAAUGAUAUAAUUUUCCUCUUAAUCGAAAAUAAAUUUUUAUAGAGUUUUUUUGGUUUGGACAAUAGAAAUGCAUAGUGCAGAAGAAAGUGAUUAAUGUAGAUGUGAAUCGAUUAAGCACACAUUUGCUAAUGUAAAGUAAUAGCAGAAAGCGAACCUCAAUAGAUGGAUAGUGUGAUACUUUCCGUUUCAUAACAGGUUUGCAGUUUCUUUUCCUUAACAUCUUCAAAAAUCAUAAUCGAAGAAAAAUCCCGCCACUUUCUUUAUUGAAUUAGUGAUUCGAUGUACUUUGCGACACAAAUGUAUCUGUAAUCACUGAUUAAAAAUAUUCUUGAAAGA